rnacentral:rRNA from 1 species
GGGUUAGUAACGCGUGGGAAUAUACCCUUUGGUACGGAAUAGCCUCUGGAAACGGAGAGUAAUACCGUAUGUGCCCUUCGGGGGAAAGAUUUAUCGCCAAAGGAUUAGCCCGCGUUAGAUUAGGUAGUUGGUGGGGUAAUGGCCUACCAAGCCUACGAUCUAUAGCUGGUUUUAGAGGAUGAUCAGCAACACUGGGACUGAGACACGGCCCAGACUCCUACGGGAGGCAGCAGUGGGGAAUCUUGGACAAUGGGGGCAACCCUGAUCCAGCCAUGCCGCGUGAGUGAUGAAGGCCUUAGGGUCGUAAAGCUCUUUCGCCUGUGAAGAUAAUGACGGUAGCAGGUAAAGAAACCCCGGCUAACUCCGUGCCAGCAGCCGCGGUAAUACGGAGGGGGUUAGCGUUGUUCGGAAUUACUGGGCGUAAAGCGCACGUAGGCGGAUCGGAAAGUUGGGGGUGAAAUCCCGGGGCUCAACCCCGGAACUGCCUCCAAAACUAUCGGUCUAGAGUUCGAGAGAGGUGAGUGGAAUUCCGAGUGUAGAGGUGAAAUUCGUAGAUAUUCGGAGGAACACCAGUGGCGAAGGCGGCUCACUGGCUCGAUACUGACGCUGAGGUGCGAAAGUGUGGGGAGCAAACAGGAUUAGAUACCCCUGGUAGUCCACACCGUAAACGAUGAAUG